UACAGAGGGUGCAAGCGUUGUUCGGAAUUACUGGGCGUAAAGGGCGCGUAGGCGGCCAUCUAAGUCAGACGUGAAAUCCCCCGGCUUAACCUGGGAACUGCGUCUGAUACUGGAAGGCUUGAGUAUGGGAGAGGGAUGUAGAAUUCCAGGUGUAGCGGUGAAAUGCGUAGAUAUCUGGAGGAAUACCGGUGGCGAAGGCGGCAUCCUGGACCAUUACUGACGCUGAGGCGCGAAAGCUAGGGAAGCAAACGGG
rnacentral:rRNA from 1 species